GGGAGCUGAGGUGUUCAUGACUGGGAUAUCUGAUCUACAGUUAGGGGGAGCUGAGGUGUUCAUGACUGGGAUAUCUGAUCUACAGUUAGGGGGAGCUGAGGUGUUCAUGACUGGGAUAUCUGAUCUACAGUUAGGGGGAGCUGAGGUGUUCAUGACUGGGAUAUCUGAUCUACAGUUAGGGGGAGCUGAGGUGUUCAUGACUGGGAUAUCUGAUCUACAGUUAGGGGGAGCUGAGGUGUUCAUGACUGGGAUAUCUGAUCUACAGUUAGGGGGAGCUGAGGUGUUCAUGACUGGGAUAUCUGAUCUACAGUUAGGGGGAGCUGAGGUGUUCAUGACUGGGAUAUCUGAUCUACAGUUAGGGGGAGCUGAGGUGUUCAUGACUGGGAUAUCUGAUCUACAGUUAGGGGGAGCUGAGGUGUGCUGGAGUGGGUUGCCUGGAAGCUUUGUAGCUAGUGUUUCUCACAAAUCCCAGAUUUAUCAGAAAUCCUGGUUAUAUGACUCCCAGAAUAUUGAGGGAAUUGGCAGGAAAUACAGAUUUCUCCAACCGGGAUUUCUGGAAAACCU